rnacentral:rRNA from 1 species
UACGUAGGGUGCGAGCGUUAAUCGGAAUUACUGGGCGUAAAGAGUGCGUAGGCGGUUCGUUAUGUCUGCUGUGAAAGCCCCGGGCUUAACCUGGGAAUGGCCGUUGAAACUGGCGAACUGGAGUGUGGCAGAGGGGGGUGGAAUUCCGCGUGUAGCAGUGAAAUGCGCAGAUAUCAGGAGGAACACCGAUGGCGAAGGCAGGUCUCUGGGCCACUACUGACGUGAGAAGCGAAAGCAUGGGGAGCGAACAGG